CACACUAACUGUGGACCCUAACCAUACCACUGUUGUUAGGUGUGUGAUUGUGUGGUAUCACACUAACUGUGGACCCUAACCAUACCACUGUUGUUAGGUGUGUGGUAUCACACUAACUGUGGACCCUAACCAUACCACUGUUGUUAGGUGUGUGGUAUCACACUAACUGUGGACCCUAACCAUACCACUGUUGUUAGGUGUGUGGUAUCACACUAACUGUGGACCCUAACCAUACCACUGUUGUUAGGUGUGUGGUAUCACACUAACUGUGGACCCUAACCAUACCACUGUUGUUAGGUGUGUGAUUGUGUGGUAUCACACUAACUGUGGACCCUAACCAUACCACUGUUGUUAGGUGUGUGGUAUCACACUAACUGUGGACCCUCACCAUACCACUGUUGUUAGG